rnacentral:rRNA from 1 species
UACGUAGGGCGCAAGCGUUGUCCGGAAUUAUUGGGCGUAAAGAGCGUGUAGGCGGCCAGGUAGGUCUGCUGUGAAAACUCGAGGCUUAACCUCGAGCUGUCGGCGGAAACCAUCUGGCUAGAGUCCGGAAGAGGAGAAUGGAAUUCCCGGUGUAGCGGUGAAAUGCGCAGAUAUCGGGAAGAACACCCGUGGCGAAGGCGGUUCUCUGGGACGGUACUGACGCUGAGACGCGAAAGCGUGGGGAGCGAACAGG